rnacentral:tRNA from 1 species
AAAGUUAAUAAAAAAGCUUCUAACUUUUUAAAAGUGAUAAUAUCAUUAAACUUUU